GUUAGGAUUAGGGUACAGGUUAGGAUAAGGUUAGGGUUAGGGGUUAGUGUUAGGGUACGGGUACGGUUUAGGGUACAGGUUAGGGUAUGACAGCAGGUUAAGGUUAGGUUACGUGUUAGUGUACGGUUAGGGUAAGGGUUAGGGUGAGGAAUCGGGUACUGUUUAGGUUACAGUUUAGGGUACAACAACGGAUUAGGAUACACUUUAGGGUACGGGUUAGUGUUAGCGUAUAGAUUAGGAUUAGGGUACGAGUUAGGGUAAGGGUUUGGAUUAGGGUUAGGGAACGGGUACGGUUUAGGGUACAGGUUAGGGUAUGAUAACGGGUUAUGGUAUGGGUUAGUUUUGGUGUUCAGGUUAGGAAUAGUGUACAGGUUAGGGUAAGACUUAGGGUAAGGAUUAGGAUAAGGGUUAGGGUUAGGGAUUGGGUACGGAUUAUUAGCGUUAGUGUACAGCUUCGGAUUAGGAUACGGUUCGGGUAAGGGUAAGGGUUAUUGUUAGGGUUAGGGAACUGGUACGGUUUAGGGUACAGGUUAGUGUAUGACAACAGGUUAGGGUACAUGUUGUGGUACGGGUUAGUGUUACUGUACAGCUUAGAGUAUGGAUUAUUGUUAGUGUAUGGGUUAGGAUUAGGGUAUGGAUUAGGGUGACUGUUAGGGUAAGGGUGAG